rnacentral:tRNA from 1 species
CCUUCGAUAGCUCAGUUGGUAGAGCGGUGGAUUGUAGAAUUUGCCUCAAAGUAGUGAUCCAUAGGUCGCUGGUUCAAAUCCGGCUCGAAGGA